rnacentral:lncRNA from 1 species
AUUUUUAGCUUAUUAUACCCCCGCUUUAAAAAAGGGGGGGUAUACUGUUUUUACUCUCUGUUGUCCGUCCGUCCGUCCCCAUCCAUCAGUCCAUCAGUCCGUCCAUCAGUCCGUCUGUCAGUCAGUCCGUCCCAUGAAACUUUCGUCAUAUUUUUCUCAGGAACUACACAUCCACCCUUUCUGUAAUUUGGUAUCAACAUUUAUAUAUGUCAGCCAUACCGUGUGAUGUGUUUUCAGAUUCAUCACUUGACAACUUCCUGUUUACCGAACACUUGUCUGAUUUUACACAUGAUAGCCAAGUUGAAAAUUUUCGUCACAUUUUUCUCAGGAACUACAAUACAAGGAUUUCUGAAAUUUGGUUUCAGGAUUUAUAUAAGUCAGCUAUACCGUGUGAUGCGUUUUCAGAUUCAUCACUCGACAACUUCCUGUUUACCGAACACUUGUAUGAUUUUACACAUGAUAACCAAGUUGAAAAUUUUCGUCACAUUUUUCUCAGGAACUACAAUACAAGGAUUUCUGAAAUUUGGUUUCAGGAUUUUUAUAAGUCAGCUAUACCGUGUGAUGCGUUUUCAGAUUCAUCACUCGACAACUUCCUGUUUACCGAACACUUGCAUAUUUUUACACUAUUAAUAUUAUCCACUUGCGGCGGGGGUAUCAUCAGUGAGCAGUAGCUCGCAGUUUCACUUGUAUUUAU